GGCUUGUCUUUGCCUUGUGAAACCGACGUCUGACGUCACACCCGGGUUGUCCACAGGAGCCGCCCCACAGGUGUCAAUCACUUAUCCGGGGAUAUUUUUAGAUCAAUAUCAGGUCAUUGAUAUAUCUCUUAAAGAGCACAAGGUUUGCACCAUAGCUAUCCGAUCCCAGAAACUCCUCUUCCCAGAGCCCAUAAUAGGUUCGCGUUAUUUUGAGGAGGUGUUUUCAUCCACUUUAAAAGGGUUAUAAUAUAAUGUCUUCUCUAAAACAAUCUUUGAUUUCAGAAGUUUAUUCACAUUAAGGAAUUGAACCUGACAUUCAAACAAAAAGGCCAUAUAUAGUUAAAAUCAUAGUGAAGUGGUUAACAUAAUGAAUCAAGCUUAUGAAUUUCCUUUGUCACUAGGAAUAGUUGCAUGAUGCAUUCACUUUACAUACUCAUGUAAAAAACAGAUUGCUUUGUGUCUAGCCUAGUAGCUCUAGUAUCAUAAAAGAGGUUAAGUGCCAAAUGUGUUUAAAAGAAAGUCUUUUAUUCUUUUUCUUUUAAAGCAUUGCCAGUUCAGCAUACAAAUGAGUGAAUGCAGAGAACAGUUCUUUGAGUGUCCUUGGAAAACUCUUUAAUAGUCUUUUUUCUGAAAAAAAUAUAAUUUCCUCUUAAGAAAUAAAAUCCCCUCUUUAAGACA